UACGUAGGAGGCGAGCGUUGUCCGGAAUCACUGGGCGUAAAGCGCGUGUAGGUGGGUCGUUAAGUGUCCGCGUGAAAUCCCACGGCUCAACCGUGGAACUGCCGGGCAUACUGGCGAUCUUGAGGCAUUCAGGGGCGAGCGGAACAAAUGGUGGAGCGGUGAAAUGCGUAGAUAUCAUUUGGAACGCCAAUGGUGAAAACAGCUCGCUGGGAAUGAUCUGACACUGAGACGCGAAAGCCAGGGGAGCGAACGGG
rnacentral:rRNA from 1 species